UCUUUAUUCCAUCACAUAGUAAUGAUGCUUAACUGUCUUUCUCAAAUCUAUAGCCCGAUCUUGGGAGCUGCUCCCCAACUACAAGCAAGUGUACCCAGAGCUCCACCCCCGGAACCUGCUUAAGAUCUUCAUCGAGCCACGACUGAUGAUGCCAAGAAAUCAAUCACCUUCAGUCUUCGGAUUAGGGAAGCCGCCUUGCCAGAUUUACAAAGUGCACCAGAUGACUCAAGGAGCUCCGCCCUUUUGAUCUGCGUUCAUCAUGGGACACACAAAGCCUCGAGAGCCUAGCAGCUUGUGCAUCGCAUCAGGGACGUCAAGUCACACUCCGUCCCUCACUCGC